rfam:Anaerococcus tetradius ATCC 35098 contig00027, whole genome shotgun sequence.
AGGUCUCACUAGCGAAACAGUAGUAACAACGAAUAGUGAGAAGUCAGCAGAAGUCAUAGUACUAGAAAGCAAAUUUUCUAGGAAGGAC